rnacentral:rRNA from 1 species
GAUCAUGGCUCAGGAUGAACGCUAGCGGCAGGCUUAACACAUGCAAGUCGAGGGGCAGCAUAAUGGAUAGCAAUAUCUAUGGUGGCGACCGGCGCACGGGUGCGUAACGCGUAUGCAACCUACCCUUUAACUAGGGGGAGUAACACUGAGAAAUUGGUACUAAUACCCCAUAAUAUCAUAGAAGGCAUCUUUUAUGGUUGAAAAUUCCGAUGGUUAGAGAUGGGCAUGCGUUGUA